GAAAUGCGAUAAGUAAUGUGAAUUGCAGAAUUCAGUGAAUCAUCGAAUCUUUGAACGCACAUUGCGCCCGCCAGUAUUCUGGCGGGCAUGCCUGUUCGAGCGUCAUUUCAUCCAUCAAGCCCCCGGCUUGUGUUGGGGACCUGCGGCUGCCCGCAGGCCCUGAAAAACAGUGGCGGGCUCGCUGUCACACCGAGCGUAGUAGCAUACAUUCUCGCUCAGGGCGUGCUGCGGGUUCCGGCCGUUAAACGACCUUCAUAACCCAAGGUUGACCUCGGAUCAGGUAGGAAGACCCGCUGAACUUAAGC
rnacentral:misc_RNA from 1 species